rnacentral:tRNA from 1 species
GGCCUUGUAGUGUAGCGGUUAUCACUUCGGAUUCUGAUCGUACGAAGUUUCCGACAACCCAGGUUCGAUUCCUGGCAAGGCCU